rnacentral:rRNA from 1 species
AACGAACGCUGGCGGCAGGCCUAACACAUGCAAGUCGAACGCCCUAGCAAUAGGGAGUGGCAGACGGGUGAGUAACACGUGGGAACGUGCCCUUCGGUUCGGAAUAACUCAGGGAAACUUGAGCUGAUACCGGAUAAGUGCGAGAGCAGAAAGAUUUAUCGCCGAAGGAUCGGCCCGCGUCCGAUUAGCUAGUUGGUGAGGUAAUGGCUCACCAAGGCGACGAUCGGUAGCUGGUCUGAGAGGAUGACCAGCCACACUGGAACUGAGACACGGCCCAGACUCCUACGGGAGGCAGCAGUGGGGAAUAUUGGACAAUGGGCGCAAGCCUGAUCCAGCCAUGCCGCGUGAGUGAUGAAGGCCCUAGGGUUGUAAAGCUCUUUCGCCAGGGACGAUAAUGACGGUACCUGGAUAAGAAGCCCCGGCUAACUUCGUGCCAGCCGCCGCUGUAA